UACGAAGGGGGCUAGCGUUGCUCGGAAUUACUGGGCGUAAAGGGCGCGUAGGCGGCACUGUUAGUCAGGCGUGAAAGUCCUGGGCUCAACCUGGGAACUGCGCUUGAUACGGCAGAGCUAGAGGAUGGAAGAGGGUCGCGGAAUUCCCGGUGUAGAGGUGAAAUUCGUAGAUAUCGGGAGGAACACCGGUGGCGAAGGCGGCGACCUGGGUAGAUACUGACGCUGAGGUGCGAAAGCGUGGGGAGCAAACAGG
rnacentral:rRNA from 1 species